GCCUCUCUCUUCAGAUCAGUUAGAAAUUCUUUUAUCUUCAGCACACACUACUGCUUCUCUCUUCUUUCCUUAUUCCUCUUCUCAGCUUUUUGUUACAUAAACUGUCAUUAACCUUUUAGGGGCCUUUUGCUUACUUCUCUUUGCUUUUCCCUAUUCUCUCCUGUAUCUAAAAAGUCCAAAGAACCAUUGGAAGAAGAUGAACUCUCCAAGGUGGAUGCUGCAGAGACUCCAACACUGGACCUGAGGAGGGAACAGAGGGGAAUUCCCUUUGUCAGCUCCAGUGACAAAGGAAAGCUUUGACAUGCUCAGCCUGUGGCCUGCCUACCCCGGAAAUGCUUGAGCU
rnacentral:lncRNA from 1 species